rnacentral:rRNA from 1 species
GACGAACGCUGGCGGCGCGCUUAACACAUGCAAGUCGAACGGAAAGGCCCUGCCUUUCUGGGGUGCUCGAGUGGCGAACGGGUGAGUAACACGUGAGUAACCUGCCCUUGACUUUGGGAUAACUUCAGGAAACUAGGGCUAAUACCGCAUAGGACCUCCUGCUGCCUGGUGGGGGUUGGAAAGUUUCGGCGGUUGGGUAUGGACUCGCGGCUUCUCAGUUUGUUGGUGGGGUAGUGGCUUACCAAGGCUUUGACGGGUAGUAGGCCUGAGGGGGUGAGCGGCCAGAUUGGGACUGGGAUGCGGCCCGGACUCGUACGGGAGGCGGCGGAGGGGAAUAUUGCACAAUGGGCGGAAGCCUGAUGCAGCAACGCGGCGUGCGGGAGGGCGGCAAGCGGGUUGUAAAGCGCUUUCGUGUGGUACGAAGCGUGAGUGACGGUAAUGGGUAAAGAAGUACCGGCUAACUACGUG